UUCAUUUUAUAUAAUUUUAUUUUAAAGUAAUUUAGUUUUAUUUAGCGUAUUGACAAGGAGUGAGCAGAUCCCAAAAUAAAUGCUUAUAUUAUUCUCAUAUAUCUCAUAUGCCUUUGAAAAACUUUUCCAGCAUAAUUUUAUUGGAGAUGCUUUUUAAUAUAGAUGCCAAUAGCGAAAUGGGUUAGCAACGUCAAGAAGUUUAUUCUAUUAAAACAAUAUAUUCGAGUUGUAAAUGUAGUCCUGUAAGACUUCUGAUAUCUGUCCAAUGAACAACUACUGACAUAUACUUAUUACGGUUAACGAUAUUACAGCGAGCACAUGUGAGUAUGGUUAAAUAGCUUCCAAUAUUGGGUUCCACACUUUUUUCUGGGUUUUACGAAACUUAAUUUGUUUUUCCUUUCCACAUAUAUUUAGCAGUUAACAGUUAAGCUUCGAUUCUGCUUGAAGUGUAUAUAUUUGUGAGUGCCUCAGCUCAUAGAAAGUUUAUUUUUUUCUUAAGAAGAUUUAAUCAGCAUUUUUACUGUCCACUACGUUGUUUACUAACCAUAAUGAAAAAUAUUUGGGAUGUGAUGCGUGUAUGGUCCAUAGUUUGCAUUGAUGGUAAGCGCAAAUAUUGGUUGAGAAAUUUGUAAUAAUUUAUAUUAGAAUUUCUUCAAUAAAUAUAUUUUUUUAUA